GGUUAUGGCUAAACGGUAGUGCACUUGCCUGGUGUGCAUGAGGCACUGGGUUCAAGUCUCAGCACCA
rnacentral:tRNA from 1 species